UACGGGGGGGGCAAGCGUUGUUCGGAAUUACUGGGCGUAAAGGGCGCGUAGGCCGCUUGUUAAGUCGGGUGUGAAAACUCUGGGCUCAACCCAGAGCCUGCAUUCGAAACUGACGAGCUAGAGUUCUGGAGGGGAAAGCGGAAUUCCUGGUGUAGCAGUGAAAUGCGUAGAUAUCAGGAGGAACACCGGUGGCGAAGGCGGCUUUCUGGACAGAAACUGACGCUGAUGCGCGAAAGCUAGGGGAGCAAACAGGAUUAGAAACCCUAGUAGUCC
rnacentral:rRNA from 1 species